UAAAUAUUUCUACCGCAAUACAGCAAAGGCAGUAUCUCUGAACAUAUCGUUCUGUACAUUUGUUUUAUUUACACACUCUUCUAGAAAGUGAAUAUAAUGCAACGCCCACCAGGUUACAACCCAGGUUAUCCCGGAGGUAUGCCGAUGCCAAACCAAGGCAUGCCGGGUCAAGCUCCUCCCAAUUACUAUGGCGCUCCAAUGCCCGGAGCACCUGGACCUGGUUAUGGCCCCCCUGGACAAAUGCAACCUCAGGGCCAACAGCAGAACUGCUUCAUGCCUGCAGCAACCAUCCGCAAACUAAGUAACACCACGCCGCCCCGUUUCGACCAAGGUUUUAAAUGAAAAGCUGUUGAAAUAGAAUCUCUUCUACCUCUUUGUAUGUUCUGAUGUGUUAUUUUUCUGUUGUGUUAUUACUAUAUUACUUAAAUUAGAGUGUAUAAUAUUUAGUUUAAUUUCUUAGAUUUAAGUUGUUGUUAAUAAAAUUCUGUCAAUGUAUAUAA